rnacentral:lncRNA from 1 species
GUGGCAUGUUAGUAUUUUUCAUAAAAUACCAAGGUAGAAGUCCUCCAAUGAUGAUCCACACGAAAGUUGGUCAAAAUCUUUCCCAACCAAUGCACUGCUGCAGCCUUAUCUUCUCAAGAACACUGUCAGCUUCGAACUUACGUCACAAUCGCACCAAAGUCUAGUUGCUUUCGAUCAAACCACUAGAAUGAUGCUAAGAAAACAAUCUUCAUAUGUCAUACAAUCUAGGAUUUAAUUUUUGACUCCAACACAUGAAAAAAUCAAAUCCUAGGGCACUCAAGCAAUACUUUCUGAAAAUCUCACUACCCUUGUAGCAACUUUUGUCACUCAAAAUUCUUUCUUUUUUUCCUCAAAUUUUUUUCAGAAUUUUUCAUAUGUUUACCACAUCCAUCUUCUUGGUUUCAACCAAAAAUCACCACCAGAAGCUAUGUGAGGCAUCCCCUAUAAAUAGGGGACCAAGAGACGUCACAUGGGAUAAAGGGGCACCAACCUUUGGUGCUCCAAAUUCCCAUUUGCCAAAUAAAUUCACUGAGUAAAUUUUUGAUAAUCUAGUUAUCUAAAGUAGAAGAACUCUUAGUCUUCUACAUGUCGUAAAAAAUUUAAUAAAUUUUAGCAUCAAAACAUGGGAUUUCUGGUAAAAAAUUUAAGGUAACGUAUAGAAAAUUAAGAGUCCUCGUUAAGG